UUAAAUUUUCUUCAUUUUUCUCCUCGUCAAUCAAGAGAACUUUCGAAGAGUUGCAAAAUAUUUGGCAAGUCAGUUAUCAGUUUUCGGAUAUCUGAGAAAAUUGGAUAACAAUUUGUUUCAAUAAAAAUGAAAAACAACAAAAACAUAUACAAAAUGCAGUAUCAAAUCUCAACAGCAAUAAUAUGAAUAAAAGAAGUAGAAGCAGAAACAAACAUAGUACGACAGUCACAAAGUAAACGAUAUUGAUGUCGAGAAAUGACAGCGAUGCCACGGUUAGUCAGUGUGCCAACCAACAGCAGAAACCGUAAUCAGCGGUGUUAUAUUGUGUCAUGAUGUGCACAAGCGGAUAACGUUUUUAUUAAUUAGUCAAAAUGUCGAUUGUGUCGUGUAUCGAAUCUCCGCACAGAAAAUAUAACCAAGUCCACAGAAGACAGAGUUCAGCACAGCAGUAGCGAGACGUUGCACCUCCUACUUAUACAAACAUAUCUUUGUCUUUAUCACCAGAUUAUGCUGGGCAGCGAAUUAUAAGGAAGCUUAAAACCACGAGUGCUGCUGUUGGCUUCCACUGGAAACGCUGUCUUCUUCAAUUGCCUCGGCUGCUAUUUAGGUGGUGGCACAUUUUCGGUUAUAAAAAAUUAAAUAUACCAAUGGAUGUGACAAGUGAUCGCGAUCGUUGGGUGUUAAUUCUGUAGCUAUGCUGGGGACUGUGCAUCGGCCGAUGGUGGGUCAACGGAAGAGCGACAACGGCUAUGGUGUGGCUUUGAAAAGAAAAAAAAUAUUUAUUACAACCUCAGAGUAAUGGACUAACAUGAAGUAAGUCAGAAUUUCUUCUAAUGCUUUAGGCGGAUAAACUACCCAUGGCUUACGAAAUGGAAACUAAUAUUUGGAGAGAUGCGAAGAUUACUCAUGACUCUUGUCUCAGCAAGAUGCCGCUUACUGAGCGACUUACGCAAUUACAACAACAGCAGGCAAGUUGAAAUCAACAAAGACACGUUCGCUGAUGCAAGUUGAGGCGGGGAGCCGCAAAGCAUUUAAGCCAAAUCAGACGCAAAUGAAAGAACAUUGCAAGCAAUUAAGCCGAUGUAAUAAAUUAAUCACAAUGGCCGCUCAGACGAUUAGGCCAGAAUGUGCCGCCGCCAGCUAGUGAACACGAUCGAAGCGGCAAUGAUAUUAGUCAACGUUAAAGGGACAAGAACUUACGUUUGUGGUUGUGCAUGCUCAUUGCUGACCCGCGGUGUGGUUGCGGCUGUGGCAAUGAGGAAAGGCGGGCGAGAUCAUGCGCUGGACUGCGGUUGCAAUUGAAGCGCGGUAUUAAUAUGUAUUAGUAAUAAAAAAAACUUGCAUUUAAUGCACGGAUAUGCGUCUAAUAUCGGAAUGCAUGUGCCACAUAGAUGCUAACUAAGUAUUAGUUUCAUUGCUAUGCAUCAAAUGUUGUAGUUGCUGCGGCUGAUGAUGGCAUGAUGACGAUCGUGUGUUGAUGAUGGUCAUGUUGGCGGGAUAGUGGCGGCGUAUGAUGACAAUGUGUGAGCAGUAAACGACGGGUUGCGCCAUCCAAAGUCCACUAAUGGCCGUUGUCGGCAGCUCCAAGUGAUGACAACACAUAUAUAAAAAUAAAUGUAAAACUGUACGCAACUGGAAGCUGUGGCUCUUACAAUCCAAUAAAUUUC